UACGUAGGGUGCGAGCGUUAAUCGGAAUUACUGGGCGUAAAGCGUGCGCAGGCGGUUUUGUAAGCCAGAUGUGAAAUCCCCGGGCUUAACCUGGGAAUGGCAUUUGGGACUGCAAGGCUGGAGUGUGGCAGAGGAGACUGGAAUUCCUGGUGUAGCAGUGAAAUGCGUAGAUAUCAGGAGGAAUACCGAUGGCGAAGGCAGGUCUCUGGGCUGACACUGACGCUCAGGCACGAAAGCGUGGGGAGCAAACAGG
rnacentral:rRNA from 1 species